UGCUCCGUGGAUGGUGCUAUUCUAC
rnacentral:piRNA from 1 species